rnacentral:lncRNA from 1 species
AUAUUCUUCCCCAUUUAUGGUCACCACAAAAGAGACUUUCUCUUUUAUUCUCCCACCCAUUUUCUUGAAGUCCUAGCCUAAACAUCAUUCCAUAUAUUUUAUUUCUCACUUAAAAUAAGUAGGAAAACUCCAUCCAAGCUCGAUUUCUCCAUCAAUCUCAUUAUUUCAAGACCUAGGGUUUAUGGGUCUAGUAGUGAAAGAUAUGGCUAGAGAUAGAAAACUCCUAGUAAGGUAAGAAAAUAAGUUUCUACCAUUUCCAUCUUUGAUAUUUGAGAUGUAGGGAGCAAGGAAUUUGGUUGAGCAAAUUGUAAUGAUUUUUGUAUGUAUGUUUUUGUGAUGGGGGAGAGAGAUUGGUAGAAGAGAGCUUUAAGCUAUGAAAUAAGUGGACUUGAGUGUUGAGAUUGUAAGAGAAAAGCUUUAUUUUGAUUUUAGUUCAUGUAAGAGGUAAGUGUUUUUGAAUUUUCAAAUCUUUCCUUUAAUAACAUGAUAAUGUAUAA